rnacentral:rRNA from 1 species
AACGAACGCUGGCGGCAUGCCUAACACAUGCAAGUCGAACGAAACCUUCGAGUCUAGUGGCGCAUGGGUUCGUAACGCGUGGGAACCUGCCCUUAGGUUCGGAAUAACUCCCCGAAAGGGGUGCUAAUACCGGAUAAUGUCUUCGGACCAAAGAUUUUUCGCCUUUGGAUGGGCCCGCGUUGGAUUCGCUAGUUGGUAGGGUAAAAGCCUACCAAGGCGACGAUCCAUAGCUGGUCUGAGAGGAUGAUCAGCCACACUGGGACUGAGACACGGCCCAGACUCCUACGGGAGGCAGCAGUGGGGAAUAUUGGACAAUGGGCGAAAGCCUGAUCCAGCAAUGCCGCGUGAGUGAUGUAGGCCGUAGGGUUGUAAAGCUCUUUUACCCGGGAUGAUAAUGACAGUACCGGGAGAAUAAGCUCCGGCUAACUCCGUG